UACGAAGGGAGCUAGCGUUGCUCGGAAUCACUGGGCGUAAAGGGCGCGUAGGCGGCCGAUCAAGUCAGGGGUGAAAGCCUGUGGCUCAACCACAGAAUUGCCUUUGAUACUGUUUGGCUCGAGACCGGAAGAGGUUGGUGGAACUGCGAGUGUAGAGGUGAAAUUCGUAGAUAUUCGCAAGAACACCAGUGGCGAAGGCGGCCAACUGGUCCGGUUCUGACGCUGAGGCGCGAAAGCGUGGGGAGCAAACAGG
rnacentral:rRNA from 1 species